UUGCACCAUAAAUAAAUAGUAAUAAAACCAUAAAUAGUUAAAUAGUAAUAUGUAAAUUAUGCCAGUAAAUAAGUCCAGGACCAGCCUAUUGGCUCAGGGUGUCUGACCCUCCAAGGGAGGAGUUGUAAAGUUUGAUGGCCACAGGCAGGAGUGACUUCCUAUGACGCUCUGUGCUGCAUCUCGGUGGAAUGAGUCUCUGGCUGAAUGUACUCCUGUUCCCACCUAGUACAUUAUGUAGUGGAUGGGAGGCAUUGACCAAGAUGGCGUGCAACUUAGACAGCAUCCUCUUUUCAGACACCACCGUGACAGAGUCCAGUUCCAUCCCCACAACAUCACUGGCCUUACGAAUGAGUUUGUUGAUUCUGUUGGAGUCUGCUACCCUCAGCCUGCUGCCCCAGCACACAACAGCAAACAUGAUAGCACUGGCCACCACAGACUUGUAGAACAUCCUCAGCAUCGUCCGGCAGAUGUUAAAGGAUCUCAGUCUCCUCAGGAAACAGAGACGGCUCUGAUCCUUCUUGCAGACAGCCUCAGCGUUCUUUGACCAAUCCAGUUUAUUGUCAAUUCGUAUCCCCAGGUAUUUGUAAUCCUCCACUAUGUCCACAAUGACCCCCUGGAUGGAAACAGGGGUCACCGGUACCUUAGCUCUCCUCAGGUCUACCACCAGCUCCUUAGUCUUUUUCACAUUAAGCUGCAGAUAAUUCUGCUCACACCAUGUGACAAAGUUUCCUACCGUAUACCCACGGACUUGGCCUCCUCUGCAGUCUGUGGUAGAGCAUUCCACAGAUUCACUACUCUCUGACUAAAAAAAUUCCUCCUUAUCACUGUUCUAAAAGACUGCCCCUCAAUUUUGAGGCUGUGCCCUCUAGUUUUGGAUAACCCCACCAUGGGAAACAUCCUCUCCACGUCCACAUGGUAUAAUGCUGUCAGGUUUUUAUGGCAAAUUAAGGAAAGAGAGAUUGGGACUGCAAUGAACAAAUUGGCAAGAGCAAUAUACUAAUAAGAGUAUGAUUAACAACUGGAAUUGAUCACUAAAGGUAGUCAUGAAAGCAGUAAUGAGAUUUUUCUUUAAAUAUAAUGAUAAAACAAAAGGCCUGGAAGGUAUUAUUCAACCUAGAUAAGUUUGCAUAAUAUUACAAGUGAAAGUAAAAAGUUUUUAAUAAAAUUGUCCUUUCAUUUGUAAUAUUAUCCAAUAAAACCAUUAGCAGUAACUCUAGCAAAAAACACAGAAUUUAUUUUAUUGGCUAAGGAGGAGGAGGAGGAAUGCUCUUCCGUGUUUCUUUAAUUGUGCGGAAUAAUCACACUGAAUUAAUUGUAUUAGCAUAAUUUAUUAAUCCUGACAUGGUGCAAUACUUUUAAGAUCUGGUUAUUUUUCUUCUUUUAGAAAAGGUUGUUUGGUUGUUUUACUUUUAGAGUAAGCUGCUAAAGGAACAUUGUUGCAAAUAUUUGCAGUGAAAAAGAAAUGUACUUUUCAAAAGCCACUAGAUACAUGUCCCCCCCAUUAUUUAUUUUCCAAAAAAGUAAUCUCCCGUCUGAACUGAAAUCUUUAACCUGCAAAGAUGCAAAAUAUUAAUGAACAAGUUUUUUUUUACACAAUUUGUUGCCUUUGUGACUUUGAAACAAUAUAACGAAACUUCUUUAUUAAAUCUGGUCAUUCUACGCAUCUGAUCCGGAAUAUUUUUGUAGAUCACCCCGCAUCUUCUUAAAAACAGACGCUCAUUCGUAAGUUAAAGGAUUUGCUCAAGCACGUGGGAAAAGCAAGACAACUUUUCCAUGUCCAUAUAAUGUUGCUUAAAAUGAAAACCUUGUUUCCAGGAAUGUUUUAAUAAAUAUAAUUGCAGCAAUAUCCGUACUUAUUCCCAAUCAAUUGCAUAAAAUCAUAAUACUAAUCAGAGUGCCUUGUGACUGACAUUCAGGCCAGUGCGUCAAAAGCGACUCUGUACUUUUCAACAACGGGUUUUCAUUGACAAUCCCUCCCGCCAUUUGGAAACCUCGUUACGUAAUUGAGUUACGCAUGUUCCCAUGGCAACAGCAGCGGCCUCCGGGACAGACAUCCCAAUCAGCCAAUCCCUGUGCAAGGACUGUUUGACGCCAUUUAACUGACAUGCCAGUUGUCAACUCGCUGCCGCCUGAGGACAAUAGAGACCAAACUAUAGCUUGAUUGACAGUUCGAAAUAACAAAUGGAGAGAAGACGAUUGUGCAUCUUAUCCAAUAGAAAUGCAGUAAAGAGGCGGGCGGAGCGCUUGAGCCCGCCACAAAGCCAGGCCGGAGAGCCGUGAAGCGGAUGCAGAAGAUAAACGGCGCUCAGGAACGGGAAGGAGGCAAAAUGGCGGCCGUCGGUGUUGGUGUCGCCGCGGUGAAACUCCUGGUGGGCUCCGAAGUGAGGGUAACGGUGGACCACAUCGUCGAAGAUGCGUUGGUCGUAUCUCUGCGCUUCGAAGAGAAGCUCUUCUCGGGGGUUCUAAUGGACAUUUCUAGAAGGUUUGGACCAUAUGGAAUUCCUGUGACUGUACUUCCAAAAAGGGAAUACAAGGAUAAAGCUGACCUCCUGCAAGUACAGUGUGAAUCAUUCCAGCAACAGACCCAAAAAAUUUCAAAAUCUGCAUCUAUUUGUGAUGAAGCACCUCUAGAAUCUGCCACACAGGCUGAUGUUGCUGAAAGCCUGUGGACUGCAAAAUCUGCACCAUUAUUUUAUGAAGGAGCACCUUACCCGCCUCCUUUGUUUAUCAGACAUACGUAUAACCAAUCUAUACCUCAGCCUCCACCAAGAAGAAUUAAGCGACCUAAACGAAAAAUCUUCAAAGAAGAGUCUACUUCCAUAAUGAACUCUAUUAAACUUAGACCAAGGCAAGUUUUAUGUGACCGCUGCAAAAAUAGCAUUUCUGCCGAUAAAAAGGAGUUGAGAAGGGGUGGCAGUACAAAUGAUAAUUCUCGACAAGAGGACAAAAAAAGGAAAAAUGAUAGUGUGCCUAAUAUGUCAAAGAGACUGAAAAUGGACCACAAAGUAGAAGCGAAAACUCAAUGUGAUGGUCAAAAACGCAAUACUGUCAUUAAAAUUACAAAUUUAUCUCCAGGCAAGGGCAAAGUUGUCAAAAUUUCGUCUCAAGUACACAGUUCUAAAGUGCAGUUGAAUCCCAAGAAAGUGUUACAGAAUAAGAAUGUAGAUCACACGAAAGCCAGGGAAGUGUUAAAAAUGGCCAAAGAGAAAGUUCAAAAGAAACAGCAGCAGGACGUUUCAUCUUCUGGCAAUUCAAUUUCCAAAAUUCAUUUUACACGGCGCUUUCAAACUACCAACUCUGGUUCACUCCCUCCAAGAAUUCGCUUAAAGCCACAGAGAUACAGGAAUGAAGAAAAUGAUUCUGCUUACAAGGCUAAACUUGAGAGACUACGCAGCUGCAAGACAGCCUCCAAAACGCCGCCUCGCUGCACCUCCUCCCGCUCAGCAGGUGAGCAGCCUCCUGACAAAGAUAGUCCCACAAAAGGGUUGGAACAGUCCACUGAUGAGAAUAAAGACACCAGGGAAAUAAAGUGGCCUUGUGAGCAGGAUGAAAAACAGUUGGGGAAAAGGGGCAGCAGAGGCAAUAUAACUGUUUAUAUGACCUACAGUCAAAAUAAAUCAGACUCUUCCACCUUUUCAGUUUGUAGUAGUGAUAGCACAGAUGAUCUAAAAUCCUCCAACUCAGAAUGUAGCUCUACUGAAACAUUUGACUUUCCACCAGGCAGCAUGCAUGUACCUUGCUCCUCCUCUUCCUCCUCCUCAAAAGAAGAAAAACUCACUAAUUCCUUGAAAAUGAAAGUCUUUACCAAAAAUGUCUCUAAAUGUGUGACUCCAGAUGGCAAGACCAUAUGUGUAGGGGACAUUGUGUGGGCCAAGAUUUACGGCUUCCCCUGGUGGCCUGCCCGCAUACUUACCAUAACUGUAAGUCGGAAAGAUAAUGGCUUUUUAGUAAGGCAGGAGGCCAGAAUUUCAUGGUUUGGGUCCCCAACAACAUCUUUCCUGGCUCUUUCACAAGUCUCCCCGUUUUUAGAAAACUUCCAGUUACGGUUUAACAAGAAGAGAAAGGGCCUUUACCGUAAGGCCAUCACAGAGGCAGCCAAGGCUGCAAAGCAGCUGACACCUGAGGUGCGGGCCCUGCUGACACAGUUUGAAACAUGAAAACAUCAAAGAAGCCCGGCGACACUAAGGCUCUGGCUGCUCUUUCCCAUGAUGUCCACUACACUGCCAUUUAUUGAGCUGCAACAUGCGGCAACCAAACAUGCAGCCACCUGAUACAACAUCUUGUCCAGAGUUCAAAUUUUGUGAAGUUCUUCGAGAGGGAGAAAAUUUAUACAAAAAUCAUCCAUGACUUUUUAGUCAUAAUUGAAAUAAACCUGACACUUGUACUUACUGUACACAUUGCUUUCUCACAUGGAAAAUGGAAGAUAUUUUAAAAAAUUGCAAUACUUAAUGCAUGAGAUUUUUCUGACACACACAUACAGUAUAUAUGAUCCACUUGAAACGCAAGUUCUUUCUUAGAAAUUCUUUCCAUGUGAUGCUCCCUGUUUAAAAUGGAUGAAUCCACCUUUAACGAAUCCAGUACUGUAGCCUUUUUUUAUAUAAAUUCUAAGCUUUGGAUUUUAAUUAUGAAUUCAGUUUUAGAAAUUGUGUCAGGGAUUUUUUUUACAUGUAGUAUUGUACUUGCUCUUCACUGGCUUUUGCUUGGUUGCUUAAUAUUUAAGCUAUGGUCCAUAUUUUAGUUUUUGUCUUCAUAUCAAAAGGAGCCCAACAUCAAUGUUUCACGAACUUGAAUACAUUUAAUUACGUGAUUCAGCUUUAAAGUUUGCAUAAAAUUGAAUGUUUUAAGAAUGCGGUGUACAACAGUUCAAAGGAAUUAAAAUUUAGAUUGUAUUAUGAUAGACUAUUUGUUUCUAAUUUCCCUAAUGCCAGUGUUUCCUAAAUAUACUGAUGAGGAAGGUGUCACUCAACCCAGAUUAUGACACCAUCUGACAUUGCCAAGCACUGCACCAGUGCCUGAUUUACAUAGGGGACAUCUAUAACCUUCUCUUGACCAUUGCUCCACUACAAUCAAGCAUAAAUUAUGAAUGACGUUCAUAGGUACUUCAAAUUUGCUUGUAGCAGUUGAAUAUUCUGGCAUUAAAAAUGAUCAAGGUUAAAAUAGAUUGAAUUAUCAUUCUUAUGACCAUACUGCUAGAAAAUAAUUCACAUUGCAUAUUUAAAUUUGAUUGGUACUACUUGUGCUGUGUCUUUCACAUGUGGUACAGCAACCAGGAAUGACUGCUCUGUAUUCUACAAUGUAAUGGAAUUAUUACCAUUUAAGCACUGACCUCGCAUUUCGCACACAACUGUUUUAUUUUAUUUAAUUUCCAGGAUUAUAGUUCAGUCGCCUCAAACAUUGGCUGAAUAAAACUUUGUGCCUCAGAAAGAGGUGGUCUAAUCCAUAAUUCUGACAAUUUUUUGCAGUAAAGAGUGAAAGAAAAAAUAUGGUUCAUAGCUCUUGUACAAUAUAUACAGUAGCAUCACUUCCUCAUCCAGUAAAAGUCUUUUUAAAACAUCCAGUUUGCUCUUUUUUGUGCUCACUGAUAAUCUAUGUCAACAGUAAUAUUAUGAGUAGUUUUUAAAUAAUCUGAUUGCAAAGAAUGAUCUUAAAGGACACAUAAAUUCUGAUGACACCAAUGUUGUUGGCAGGAUCUCAAACGGCAAUAAAGUGUACAGGAAUGAAAUGCAGCUGAGUCACAACAACAACCUUGCACUCAACAUCAGCAAGACAAAAGAAUUGAUUGUGGACUUCAGGAAGAGGAAGUCAGGAGAACACACUGAGGGAUCAGCUUUGGAAAGAAUGAGUAACUUCAAUCACGAAGAAGGUGUGCAGCGGCUCUACCUCAUUAAGAAUUUGAGGAGACUGGUACGUCAAAGACUAGCAAAAUCUUUACCAAUGUAUGGUGGAGAGUGUUCUGACUGCAUCAAUACCUGGUGCAGAGGCUCCAAUGUGCAGGAUCACAAGAGGGUUGUAGACUCAGCUAGCUGCUUCAACCCUUGCACCAUCGAGGACCUAAAGAACGCAGUAUCCAUCAAGGACCCUCACCGUCUGGGAUACUCCCUCUGCUCAGCACCAUCAGGGUGGAGGUCUGGGAGCAUGAAGACCCACACUCAAUAUUUUAAGAACAGCUUCCUUUGCUUUCAGAUUUCUGAAUAGUGCAUGAACCCGAGAGCUACUUUGAUAUUUUUCUUCAUUUUGGUUAGCAGCCUGAGUAAAAGAUGCUGUGUAACCUGCUGAGUUCCUCCAGCAUUUGUAUGCUACUCUGGAUUUCCAGCAUCUGCAGAAUCUCGUGUGAAGGAUUCAAUAUUGCUUUGUGAUGACAGUCACUUUCCCAGAUACUGGUAAGACUAUCUUCAUUCUGUUUUGUUGUAGUUAGUGAGAAGCCAGAUAUCAGUGAGAAUAUCUGAGUUAAUGACAAUGGUCAUUCGCAAUGCAGAAGACUAAUUUUCCUCUGUUAUUCACGGUCAACACUUCAGACUACUGGAGAGUGAUGUGAACUUCAUAGAUGUAAGAAAUACUAUCCUAGAAAUAAUGUCACAUGCUGAACACUUACGCACACUAAGACACAAUUCCCAAAAAUUCAGUUGUAUAAGUGAGGUGUUUCAUGUGGAUUUUCAUUCAAAGGCAGGUUUUCAUCAUGAAAACAAGUACUUCAAUGAAUCUAUCUAACCAAAUACAAGAUCAUGGAUUCCAGCACUAGAUAUGUCAAUAGGCUGGCGAGGUUUAAUUUCUGAAUUUAACCCUUGCUCAAUGUCUCUUUCAGAACUUCUCCAACCUUAGUGAGUCUAAAAUCUUCAUUCCCCAAGCAGAUAGCUUCCUCCCUUCCUUCCCCCCACUUCCAUUCUUCCAACUUAUCUAUCAACCUUCCCCAUCCCUCUCUUGCCCCACCAAAUUCAUAAAUCUGACCUGCCUUAUUUCCCCGCAGUGAUGGAGUAAGCUGGAGAAAGGUCUUUUUGCACACAAGAUGGGCAAUACAUUUUACAGUGAACAAUCUCUGGGGUCCAUGCACAAUAGAACUAAUCAUUGAUUGGGCUGCUGUACAUGAUUAGUUAUAAGCACAUUUUGACAUGACACAAUUUCUAGCCCCCGAAUUAAAGUCAUAAUUUCUACAAUCAUCAUCAUCAUCAUCUCACUGCCAACCAAACUAGGAAAGGCUUAAGGUUGAUAGCUGCUAUUUACUUGCAGCCUUACAAUAUUACAGAGGCCUUGGAAAUCUAGCUGAUACUUGGCUCGUCUAUGUUUAGUACAACAAGUUUGCAGUCAGUCAGGCUCAGCCUUACUCAAUGGUCAGGGAGAAGGCUGGAGUUGGAUGCCAGUGAAUAGAGUUUGUAAAAUUUCACUUAUAUAACACUGGAUAGCAAUUUUUCCUCCAAAAGUGUUGCAUCCUCAGAGAUUCUUUGUGGUUAUGAUAGAGCACUUGAAGCUGAACACAAAUAUAAUUUUGGACUACUUGUAUCACGUAGGAAUGUGGAGAAACAGGAAAUUAACUUUUAUUGAAUACAAUGCAUUUAAUUGCAUAAUGGUGCUGCUGAUUUGCAAUAGUUCAAAUAAGCUAAAAAACAUUGUUGAUGAUUUUUGUUUGUACUCGGUGUCCAACAAUAAUCAGCCAGCAUUGAUGGAUUCCAUUUGCCCUGAUACUGUUUCUCCAUGACUGCAAUGUCCUGGUGAAAUCUUUCACCAUGCUGGUCACUGAUAGCUUCAAGAUUUGCAGGGAAGAAGUCUAAAUGGGAAUGCAGAAAACAAAUCUGCAGUUACAUGCGGCACUUCAUGAUUUUAUGUACUUGCAGCAUGCUGUCAACCAGAUGCACAUAAGUUUGCUGCUGUGCAGUUGGCAAGAAAAUUUUCGACAAAUUCCUUGAAUGCCUUCCAUGUGAUUUUCUCCGGGCUCACUAGAAGUUCUUUGAAUUGCCUGUCAUUGAAGACCUGUUUGAUUCGUGGACCAACAAAAAUGCCUUCUUUAAUCUUGGCAUCAGUUAUUCUGGGAAACAUCUGUCUCAAAUAUCGAAAUCCUUCAUGGAAAUUUGUGUAAAUGGUAGCAGCAGAUUCCAUCCUUGCAGUCUUGAACCCAGUAAUUCUGCUUUUGCCUUUGACAAAUGCAAAUCUCUGACCAGGUGCUUUUACUCAGAUUGAGUUAGCAGGUGACACUCAUUUAACAUAAAGGGUUCAAAAUCUGUAUCAGUAUCAGUGUUGUUUUCUGUUCCUGGCUUGUGUAUCAUGGCAUCUUCAUCUGCCUCCGCUAGACUGAAUGUCACUUGUAACUUUGAUACUGGAAGACGAUUGUCAUGUGGCACAGGUCUCAUAGCUGAAGAGAGAUUGGGGUAUUCAAUAGGUUUCUUGUUUUUAGCAGAGAAACCAGACACACUGGUCAGACAGAAGUAGCAGUCUGUCAUAUGAUCCUUUUGCUCUCACCAUAUCACUGGGACAAUGACAGCAUUGACCUCCAAGUACCCGCUAAGAUCGACAGUGCAUAUUGCGCAACGAAUGUGAGGAGCCCAGGCUUUGUCUUGGUCGCCAAUUUUACACCCAAAGUAGAGCUCAUGGGCUUUCUUAAUAAGAGGAGGCAUUCUUCGUCUUUGAGAUUUAAGCAAACACUCAUCACAGCUAUUACAUUUGUGAAACAUUUUGCUAUCACAAAUACUCCUGAAAAUACAAUUACUUUAUUAUAACGAGCACACACAAUAUGCUAUGCGCAUAGAAUAUGUGCAACAGGAAUGCAAGCUGAUAUACCUGUGUGUGAUGCUUUUAUAACCUUUCUAAAACCUGUCCCACUAUGCGUCAUCCAUCCUGCCUAAGCGUGCCUGGACAAAAUAGAAUUACAUCAGAUUACAUUGUGGGCAACAUUUUAAUUGACUUGAAUUAUGAAUAGAAAUAACAAAUGUAAACAUUUUCAAAAAAAAAGGUGCAUUAUAGGGAAAUUUCAUGGGGAUUCUCAUGAUCAGCAGCCCAAAAUCCAUAACAUACACUAUUCAGGAAGCAAAAUCUUUGUUGCCCAAUGUUAUUUUAAGUCAUCAGUUAAGUGCAAGGGUGACAGAGAAGCCAAUAUAGUUAGAUUUCUAAAAUGUGCAUUUCUGAAAUACAUAGUACAAUUGAGAAAAAAAGAUCAGCACACAGAAACAGGGUAUAAUGUAGCAGAAUGUAAAGCAAAGAAAUAGAUGGAGUUUCCAGGGACUGAAAGUGAUUAUUCAGACUGGUAUAAAGAGGUGAGAUGUGGUGUUCCACAGCUAUUGCUGCUGGAAUUAUUGUUCAUUAUAAUUUACACAAUAGACUUUAAGUAUUGAUGGGUGGGAAGAGUAGUGUAUUUGGUUUAAUAUAGAGAACUGUAGGAAACUACUGCACAGGAAAUCAGCAACAGCCUUGCAGCAUGAGCACAUAAUUGGCAAAUGAGCUUGUGUAUAUGUAAGUUUUCACAUUUUAAUGAUUCAAAUAGGAAAGGCUAUAAACUCAGUCCAUGUUUCUAAAUGAGGUACAGAAUGAAAGGAUCUGUUGUUAUAAAAUGGAAAACCAUUAAAAUAGGACAUAAAUAAAAGCCUUUGACUUCAUUUCAAAAGCAGUAGAAUCGUACAGCAAUGAAGCUGUGCAAAAUCUUUGUAGCACAUUGGUUAGACCACAACUAUCGAUUAUUCUGAUCACUGUGCUGUGCCUUGAAAAAGUAUUCAGUCCCCACUAUUUUCACCUUUUCUAAAUGUAAACUAUAUUGAAGUAGGAUUUUCUAGCUAAUCUACAAAACAUUGUGCAUCAUGUCAAAGCAAAAGAAAAAUUCCAAACCCUGUCAACAAUUUACUAACAAUUAGAAACCAAACACUUGAAGCUGAAAAUGUACUCAUCCCUUUGUAAUUACUACGCUAACCUUCCUCAGGUGCAAUAUACAGAAUUACCUUUACCAACUCACACCCCCCCCCCACCCCCAACAGUAUGGUAGAUUUUCAACCAACCAAACCAAAAUGAAGACGAGCAUUCAAGGUAAGUCAGGGAAAUUAUAACAACAAAGCACAAAUCUGGGAAAAAGUACAAGACCAUCUCAAAGGCACUGAGCAUACCUUGGAGGUCAGAGCAGUCGAUCAUGAAAAAGUGUAAAAAAUAUAAAACCACAGCCACACUGCUUAGGUCAGGCUGCCCCUCAAAACGGUCACCAGAGAAGAAUGACACUUGUAAGAGAGGCUACUGGGACAGCAGUGUCACUGAGUGAGCUACAGAAGUCAGCUGCUGCAAUAGAUGAAGUUCAUGGCUCCACAAUCUCUAACACAUUGUCCAAAAAGGGUAUACAUGGAAGAGUGGCAAGGAAGAAGCCUUAGCUGAAAAAAAAUCCUUGCCCAUAAAGACUUUGCAAAGUGUCACUUGUAAGAUACUGUAAAGAUGUGGAAGAAGGUCUUGUGGUGAGAUGAGACUAAUGUGGAACCUUUUGGCCUCAACAAUGUGGCGUAAAUCUCAUAAUGUGCAACAGCCAGAUAACACCAUCCCAACUGUAAAUUAGCAUGCUAUAGGGAUGAUUUUCAGCAGCAGGGUCUGGAAAUCCAGUCAGGAUUGAUGGGAAGAUGAAUGCUGCUAAAAACAGAGAUAUUCCUGGAAUUAAGAAAGCUUAAACUGGGGAGGAAGUUUAUUUUUCAGCAGGACAAUGACCCAAAGCACACUGCCAGAGCAACUAUGGAAUGGCUUUAAAUGAAGAAAAUUGAUGUCCUUGAAUGGUCCAGUCAGAAUCCUGACGUUAACCCAAUUGAAUAUCUCUGACAAGACCUCAAGAUUGCUGUCCAUCGCUGCUCCCCAACUAUCCUGGCACAAUUUGAGCAAUUUUGCAAGGAGGAAUGGGCAAAUCUCACUCCAUCACAUUGUGCAAAGCUAACAGAGAAGUUAUCCAAAAAGAUUACUGGCUGUAAUAGCUGUGAGAGGUGAUUCAACUAAGUACUGAGAAAAGGGGGAUGAAAACUUGUCAGUUUUUGAAUUUUUAGUUUUUCACGCUUUAUAAUUUCUUUUAAGGCUCUACUGUGAAAAACAAAGGAAGUGUGCAAUGCACAAAUAAAAAUUCUCAGUUAAAUUGAUCAAAAUCUUUGGUUGUAAUACUCAUUUAUGUGAACAAAGGGUUGGGGGCUGAAUACUUUUACAAGGCAUUGUAUAUUAAGGAGAUAGACAGGUGGUAGAUAAGAUGUAAAGAUGAUCCACUACAAUGAUUUCAAAACAAAGUUGUCGUAACUGUAAAAGAAAGAAUGAGAAAUAAAGCUCUGUGUUCAAAAACAAAAAGGCUAAGGUAAGAACUGAUAGUUCUCUGGAUGGCAGAGUAGCACUGUAGGUACUGCAACUGGCUUACAGCUCCAGCAAUCUGAGUUCAAUUCUGAACUCUGCUGCCAUCUAUGUAGGGUUUGCACAUUCUCCCUGUGAAGAUGUAGGCUUCCUCCCACACCCAUAGAUCCACUGGUUGUCACAGUAAUUGGCUACUGAAACUCAUCCAGGGUGUAAGUGGCUGACAGGAGAAUCGGUGGCUAUUAAUGAUUAAACAAGAGUGAGUAGUUUACAAGGAAAUAUAGUUGAUGGGAAUGCACAGAGCCAGUAUGGAUUUGAUGCACCAAAUGAUUUCCUUCAUGAGGUCUGUUAGAAUGUGAGUCAAUUUGAUACACAAAUGUAAAGACAAUGAUUUUAUUUGGGUAAAUUUUGUGGAACUUCUAUCAAAAAGAAUAACUGAAGUGAGCAGAACAGAUGCAAUUAGGCCAACGCCAGAUAAAAAUGAGCAAGACUGGCAAGAAGUAGAGAUAUAGCUUAAACACAAUAGUGUGGAUCUGUUGAGCCAUCUGGAUGGUUAUAGUGCAUUGCUUUAUAACAUUAUCCAUGCUCUUUCAAAAAAUUGUUUGGAUAAGAAAGCUAGCUGUCCUCCUUAGGCACAGAUAAGUAACUUCUACUUGCAUACUGAAGCACUGCAAGUUUUAUCAAAAUGAAGUACGCAUUAAAUAUUUUUUAUUUCCAGCAAGUUCUUUGAAGUUCAAAUUUAAAUGUUUUUCAACCAUACAUUAAUGCCAAUGGUUAUAGUCGAACGAAACAGCGUUACACUGGGGCCAAGGUGCAAAGCACAGUACCAACAGUCAUACACAGCGCAAGGUACAUUUUGCACAUGCCAAAUAGCAAGCACAUAAACAAUCACAAGCACAUAAAAGAAAGCAGUAAAAUACAGUCGCACAAAAAAGUGGUGCAAGUCCCUGAGUCAAUGAAUGCUGCAGCAGUCUACAAUCAAACAUAAUAAAGCUUUUCUUAUGCUGAGCAAACAGUGGGGGCAGCAGCUCUGAUUCCAUUGUGAAUAUCUCAGCACACUGUCUCCAGCAGUUCAGUGGAGCACCCAACUCCCACUGCAAGCAGACAACACCCACGGCCUGAGGGCUAGCCCCUGCUACAACUGAGGCCACACAGCUUCCCCGCCAUCUGCCCACGCUGUUCACCAAUAAACCAAUGAACUGGACUCGCAGCAAUUCACACCACCAAUGUCCAAGGGCCUUGCAAUCACAAGAAAGGUGACUAGGACGAUCACUUGCUGUUAGAUUGCGCACCUCCUUUGCGUACUGAUGCCCGUCAAAGGCAGCAUCGCAGUCCACACCAUCCAGAUCUCCAGUUUCUCAGCCGAUGAACAACUCACUAAAGGAGAAGAC